rnacentral:rRNA from 1 species
AUGUUGCAAUUUUCAUUCCGUUGGAUUCGGCUUCAAUAUUUAUCUGUCAAUGUGCUAAUGGUGGUCAACCUCUUCAGGAUGGCUCCUCCAACGCGCACGACUCCGAAUCCUGAUCCGCCACCGCCUCCACCUCCUCCAGAGGCAUGGCAAGCUGUGAUGGCCGCAACUAAUGCAAACACUCAGCUAAUCAUGCAAAUUCUUCAAGAGCGCAAUCAAGGCAGCCAAGGGAACCAAGGCAGCAAUCAGAGUCACUUCGCUACACUCAACCAGUUCCUUGCUAACGGGCCAAAUACUUUCAGCAAUUGUGUUGAGGCAACCGAUGCUGACGAUUGGCUUGUGGAUCUGUGUAAGCAUUUCGAGUGCAGUAACGUCAGGCCUGAGGACUUUGUGAAGUUCGCUUCCUUCCAACUCAAAGAUCAAGCUGCAGAAUGGUUCCAGCAGUACAAGUGA